rnacentral:lncRNA from 1 species
CCCCCCCCCCCCCCCCCCCCCCCCCCCCCCCCCCCCCCCCCCCCCCCCCCCCCCCCCCCCCCCCCCCCCCCUGGAGAAAGUGGAGGAAAGGGGAAAAAAAAUCAAAUAAAGUAAGGAAGAGGGGUAGAGAAGUGAGGGGAGAGGUACCAGGGUGCCGAGGAAAGGCAGGCGCGGCCGCCCCCCCCCCCCCCCCCCCCCCCCCCCCCCCCCCCCCCCCCCCCCCGGGGGAGCGGAAAGUCAGCGGAGAGAUGCGCGGCGCAAGCCGGCUCUACCUGCGGAGAAGGGGCGCCUUCAUCCCAACUUCCCAGCUCCGGCGCGGCCCUCCCAGCCGGGAACAGCGGGCAGCGGCCGCCGCGGGACCCGCCCCCCCCCCCCCCCCCCCCCCCCCCCCCCCCCCCCCGCGGGCAGCGGCCGCCGCGGGACCCGCCGCCACCGCCGGCAGCAAAAUAAGCCCGAAGGAAAAGUUAAAAGCUUCUGAAUGCAAAGCAGCCUGUGGCUGGACCUUUGCUCUACACACACUGGUAGUAAAAAAAAGAAUCUUCUGGUCCCUGACAACUCAGGAACAGACACAAAAAUAAAUAUAGGGAAUGAUGGAUUGAUGCUUCUAGGAAGGGUGAAAAGGCCUUGUGACACAGCAGAGCUGGUGUGCGUUUGUCACACGGAGAAUGAAUUUGAGGAGAGUGUACAGGUGUUUCCUGUGUUGCAGAAACCAUCUCUGCAGAGACUCUUGUUUGCGAUUACCCAAGACUUCAAAGAAAAUACCAAGAUGGAUGUGCAAAAGGUCCUGCCAAUAGCAGGAUCCACCAUCUAUUUCCUACUUACUAAAACAGACACAGACACAGCUCCCAGGAAUGCCUAGGAGGAAGCUCCAUCAACGGCAGCUCUUCAAAACAGCCCUAGAUGUAAAGGUGAUUCUUCCUUUAUCAUUCCCUGAUGGGUAGCAUCUCUAGUGAACAUUUCUGGAGUAGGGCCCUUCAUUUACAUUUCUUUCAAUAUCCUGAUUUUCUUAAAAUUGUUCUGCUGCUGACCAGCUGUACUGGAAGGCUUUUACCUUUUAGGUGAAUUUCAUGUUUAGUCUUAGCUGGUAUACUUCAAACCCAGUCCUUCUCACUGUAGCAUGAUGCUACUAUUUGUUUGCAUCAGCUUUUGUGUCAAGAAGCAUCUCCUGCAAGAUGACAUCUACAUUUUCCUCUAAAUCUUUUUUUUUUUUUUUUUUUUUUCCCCCCCCCCCCCCCCCCCCCCCCCCCCCCCCCCCCCCCCCCCCCCCCCCCCCCCCCCCCCCCCCCCCCCCCCCCCCCCCCCCCCCCCCCCCCCCCCCCCCCCCCCCCCCCCCCCCCCCCCCCCCCCCCCCCCCCCCCCCCCCCCCCCCCCCCCCCCCCCCCUUUUUUUUUUUUUUUUUUUUUUUUUUUUUGUGGCACUCAGUUCAGAUUUUUCAGAGCAAGCUGUAUACAAUAUGCUUGUAUACAAUAAGAGGUACUGAAUAACCUUUUUUGUUUUGUGGCACUCAGUUCAG